AACGAACGCUGGCGGCAGGCCUAACACAUGCAAGUCGAACGCCCCGCAAGGGGAGUGGCAGACGGGUGAGUAACGCGUGGGAAUCUACCCAGUGGUACGGAACAACCAGGAGAAAUCUUGGCUAAUACCGUAUAAGUCCUUCGGGCGAAAGAUUUAUCGCCAUUGGAUGAGCCCGCGUCGGAUUAGGUAGUUGGUGAGGUAAUGGCUCACCAAGCCUACGAUCCGUAGCUGGUCUGAGAGGAUGAUCAGCCACAUUGGGACUGAGACACGGCCCAAACUCCUACGGGAGGCAGCAGUGGGGAAUAUUGGACAAUGGGCGAAAGCCUGAUCCAGCCAUGCCGCGUGAGUGAUGAAGGCCCUAGGGUUGUAAAGCUCUUUCGGCGGGGAAGAUAAUGACUGUACCCGCAGAAGAAGCCCCGGCUAACUUCGUGCCAGCAGCCGCCGUAACAC
rnacentral:rRNA from 1 species